rnacentral:rRNA from 1 species
GACGUAGGGCGCGAGCGUUGUCCGGAUUUAUUGGGCGUAAAGAGCUCGUAGGCGGCUUGUCACGUCGGGUGUGAAAGCCCGGGGCUUAACCCCGGGUCUGCAUUCGAUACGGGCAGGCUAGAGUGUGGUAGGGGAGAUCGGAAUUCCUGGUGUAGCGGUGAAAUGCGCAGAUAUCAGGAGGAACACCGGUGGCGAAGGCGGAUCUCUGGGCCAUUACUGACGCUGAGGAGCGAAAGCGUGGGGAGCGGACAGG